rnacentral:lncRNA from 1 species
UGGUGCAUAAGGAGGGGUCUAUUCAGAGAGAAUACUAUUUUUCUUUAGAUAAUCAAGAAACUCACUGGAUAAAUAUUUUUCUCCUUGAUCAAAUCUAAGAAUUUUAAUAUUUUUUUCAAUUUAUUUCUCAACCAUCUUUUGAUCCUCCUUAAAUUUUUUAAAAGCUUCAAAUUUGUGUUUCAUAAAAUACAUAUAUCCAAAUCUUGAUCGAUCAUCAAUAAAU